rnacentral:rRNA from 1 species
CCUACGGGAGGCAGCAGUGGGGAAUAUUGGACAAUGGGCGCAAGCCUGAUCCAGCCAUGCCGCGUGAGUGAUGAAGGCCUUAGGGUUGUAAAGCUCUUUUGUCCGGGAAGAUAAUGACUGUACCGGAAGAAUAAGCCCCGGCUAACUUCGUGCCAGCAGCCGCGGUAAUACGAAGGGGGCUAGCGUUGUUCGGAAUCACUGGGCGUAAAGCGCACGUAGGCGGAUUUUUAAGUCAGGGGUNAAAGCCUGGAGCUCAACUCCAGAACUGCCUUUGAUACUGGGAGUCUAGAGUUCGGAAGAGGUUGGUGGAACCUGCGAGUGUAGAGGUGAAAUUCGUAGAUAUUCGCAAGACACCAGUGGCGAAGGCGGCCAACUGGUCCGAUACUGACGCUGAGGUGNGAG